rnacentral:rRNA from 1 species
GAGUUUGAUCAUGGCUCAGAUUGAACGCUGGCGGAAUGCUUUACACAUGCAAGUCGAGCGGCAGCGCGGGGCAACCUGGCGGCGAGCGGCGAACGGGUGAGUAAUGCAUCGGAACAUGUCCAUGUCGUGGGGGAUAGCCCGGCGAAAGCCGGAUUAAUACCGCAUAUGCCCGAGAGGGGAAAGUGGGGGACCGCAAGGCCUCACGCGAUUGGGUUGGCCGAUGUCCGAUUAGCUAGUUGGCGGGGUAAGAGCCCACCAAGGCGAUGAUCGGUAGCUGGUCUGAGAGGAUGAUCAGCCACACUGGGACUGAGACACGGCCCAGACUCCUACGGGAGGCAGCAGUGGGGAAUUUUGGACAAUGGGGGAAACCCUGAUCCAGCCAUUCCGCGUGAGUGAAGAAGGCCUCGGUUGUAAG